AUACUCACCUGGCUGGGGAGAUAUCAUGAUCAUGAAGGUGAUUUUCCCAAGGUGAAGCUUAUCCAUUGCACUCUGGAUAUGCUGAUCCCUGCAAUUUCACUAAAUGUGGGAAACUCGACUGCUUAAUUUGUAGUAGUGACUGACUGCGUUCGUCCUCUCUCC
ensembl:snRNA U1 U1 spliceosomal RNA